rnacentral:lncRNA from 1 species
CAUGAUUCUAUCUCCUACCCUCUUGACAUCUACAACAUCUUGUGUCAAGGUCUUGUCCACGAUGAUGCCAAAACCGUUUCUCGUUCUAUUUGUGCCCGAAUACCAAAGUUUAAACCCUGAGUUUUCUAAAUCCUUUGCCUUAAGACCAACCCACUUAGUUUCUUGUAGGCACAUAAUAUUUAUCCUUCUCCUCACCAUAACUUCCACUACUUCCAUAGAUUUUUCCAUUAAGGUUCCUAUAUUCCACGUUCCUAAACGCAUUCUACUCUCUUGAACUCUACCCUUUUGUCCUAGCUUCUUCACCCUCCCCCGUCUAAUAGGAUCAAAGUACUUCUUUUGUGUGUCCUAUGUAAAGUUGAUAGGAGCAUAUGCUCCCAAACAACUUUGAGUGGAGUCGUUCGAAAAGAAUUUUCUAUGGCCCCCUUGCUCAUUUAACACUGCAUCCAGGUGCCGAUGAAGAUACAGCGACCCUUGCUCACUUAUCACUGUGUUUGGGCCACACAGCGCGCCACUUACGGGUGACAGCCUAGCUUUAGCGCGAUUUCGUUCUGGAUUCAUUUUCAUAAGGAUUCGACAUAACCGAGGAGUGCCGGCUGUCAACUACCUGACGCCCUCCCCCUCCUCCUUUAUCUGGGCUUGAGACUGGCAAUGUAAGAUAAACUUACACAGGCGGAGUUUAGCGCUUAUAUAAUCAAUAUACAAAAAUAAUACGGUGUCUAUGUAAUCGCUACCAUAAGUAUAGGAACCAGAGACGGUCAUUAGUUGGGGUACGCAUGCACUAGUAGUGUAACCUUCUAUUAGCUAAAGAGCCUAUACAAUAUACAUGGCUUUGUUUUCCCAUACAAAUAUAAUGAAAUAUUUCUUCUUCUAUGUAUAAUUCAUCAAGUCCAUGUAAUAUUCAUGCAUAGAGUGCAGCUACCUUAAAGAAAUAUGACAGAAAUAAAACGUUUUUUCUUUUUGAAGCACAAUGACACAACUUAAAGAGAUCGACCCUAAAUGAAACCAAAUGAUUUACAAUGUGUUCAAGAGUAUUGCAUAAGAGAAGGACCAUACUCAGUGACGGAGCUAGGAAUUUACGACAAUGGGUUCAAAAGUUGAGCUUCCAUUACUAAUCACACAAAGUAAGCAAUUCCGAAUUCAAACACUGCCUUGAUGUAUUGUUUUUCAUUA